UUCAGCUCGACUGCGGAGGAGUACUUCGUGAGUUUUCGUAUCAAGAAGUAGCUGGAUCGUGUAAUUUGGCACCGUGCACGCCCUGCUCAUCCACUCUACACCUGUGCACUUACUGUAGGUUUCAGACGCGAUGCGAGUUUAGGCUCGCGGAGCUUAUGGGGCUUACGUUUCAACCACAAACGCUUCAGUAUCAGAAUGUGUAUCGCGAUGUAACGCAUCUAAAUACAACUUUCAGCAACGGAUCUCUUGGCUCUCGCAUCGAUGAAGAACGCAGCGAAAUGCGAUAAGUAAUGUGAAUUGCAGAAUUCAGUGAAUCAUCGAAUCUUUGAACGCACCUUGCGCUCCUUGGUAUUCCGAGGAGCAUGCCUGUUUGAGUGUCAUGAAAUUCUCAACCUAUAAGCCUUUGCGGGUUUUGUAGGAUUGGACUUGGAGGUUUUGUCGGCUUGCGUCGGCUCCUCUCAAAUGCAUUAGCUUGAUUCCUUGCGGAUCGGCUCUCGGUGUGAUAGUUUUUUGCGCCGCGACCGUGAAGCGUUUGGCGAGCUUCUAACCGUCUCUCUUUCGAGACAAUCGACUGAACUCUGACCUCAAAUCAGGUAGGACUACCCGCUGAACUUAAGCAUAUCAAAAGCCCGGAGGAACUC
rnacentral:rRNA from 1 species